rnacentral:rRNA from 1 species
UGGGGAAUUUUGGACAAUGGGCGCAAGCCUGAUCCAGCAAUGCCGCGUGCAGGAUGAAGGCCUUCGGGUUGUAAACUGCUUUUGUACGGAACGAAAAGGCUCUGGCUAAUACCUGGGGCACAUGACGGUACCGUAAGAAUAAGCACCGGCUAACUACGUGCCAGCAGCCGCGGUAAUACGUAGGGUGCGAGCGUUAAUCGGAAUUACUGGGCGUAAAGCGUGCGCAGGCGGUUUUGUAAGACAGAGGUGAAAUCCCCGGGCUCAACCUGGGAACUGCCUUUGUGACUGCAAGGCUGGAGUGCGGCAGAGGGGGAUGGAAUUCCGCGUGUAGCAGUGAAAUGCGUAGAUAUGCGGAGGAACACCGAUGGCGAAGGCAAUCCCCUGGGCCUGCACUGACGCUCAUGCACGAAAGCGUGGGGAGCAAACAGGAUUAGAUACCCUGGUAGUCCACGCCCUAAAGCGAUGUCAACUGGCUUGUUGGGUCUUAAUUGACUCAGUAACGAAGCUAACGCGUGAAGUUGACCGCCUGGGGAGUACGGCCGCAAGGUUGAAACUCAAAUGAAUUGACGGGGUCAUA